ACAGACACAUAACCACAGUUACAAGAAGGCCUCUUCCUUGCUCCUCUGUCUCACAGAUAUUUGGCCUUUUUUGAAAGCUGAGACAGGCAUCUGCUACAGAAGGAACAAAUACUUGUAUUGUAUCAGUAACAGAGAUGUCCUGUGUUACUUAUCUUGCAGAGCACAGCAAAGGCCAAAAGUUCCCACUUCUUUUCAUGCUCAUUGAUCCAAGCUGAGUGACAUGGUGAGGCAUGGUAGGAACUCUGAGGCAAGGGACACUUCACCAGCACCAAAUGCAGCUUCACAGCACUGUGAAACCCCAGCUGUUACAACCACAUAAAAACGCCCACAUUAAUGGACAGUGCGCUAUCACCUGACCCACAUUUACUGGCUAGCUGCUGCAGGCCUGAGUCCCUUGUGCUGACAAAGAUGAGGGUAAUGUAAAAGGCUUCUUGGUGCCACAGCUCAAACAAGCAUAGGCAAGGAAGUGCAGCUUCUUUUAGUUGCACUUUGAUAGAAAAGCAAAUAUUUUUCAGCUCUGUUCAUGCAACAUUUACCUUCACCACUGUGAACAUUGCUGCCUUACAGGACAUAAGUCUGCUUAUCCCAACUCCAUCAGUUGGGAGGUUCUCUGCAGUCUCCUGUAGCAAGGGUAAACUUACAGGUUGAACCAUUCAGGUAUCUCUCAUCUUCCUAAAAUAUCUUCCUAGGCCGUAUCUUUCAUAAACACAUGCAUUAUAGAAGCACAAGCCCAUACGUUUUACACUCAGAUUUUGUGUCAGUUCUGGGAAAGUUAAUUCCCAGCCAAUUUUACUUGCUUAGAGUCUACCAGCCUCGGACACUAAGAUGCACAUUUUUAUGGCUGACACUUGUCUCUCUGUAUGCCUGCAGUCAGGCUUUAAUCUGCUCCCACACAAAAACCUGUGCCCUCAACUACCACAGGCAGUUGGUGUUUAAGCAUUCUGCAUGCAGGACAGACUCAAGACAAAUGGUGAAAUUAUGGAACAGAGUAUAUCCUUUUAUCCUGUUCAGGCAAUAAAAAUUCACCAUGGCUAAAAUAGCUUUUUUACUUAGCAUCUGACCACAGAGUAGAAUUUUUCAUGCUUUUCUCAUCACUUGGUUUUUCUCUCUUGAAACCGUAUUAAACCCAGACUGUUUUAUAGACCUGAUUCUUUACCAUCACUAAGAUCAAACAUGGAUUUAUUAUUUUCAUAGGGUUUUUAGCAGUGAAAUUAGUCUGAUUUUCUUUCCCCUCCAGCAAGCUUGACCUUGGAGUAAACAUCCUGGCUAACAGUCAAGGUGACUUCAUCAUCACACAGAGCAUGAGGAUUCCUCUCUUUGCCUUCAUGGCAAAGUAUAUGCCAUUUCAUUGUCUUGAUGGAGCCUUCGAAACUCAAUACAGACUGAGGCAGCCAGUCCUUUGAGGGGAGAAAUGCAAAUCAAAUGCUUGAAUUAAGUCAGGUUUAAAGAACUAAAUUUCUGGUGAGGGGCAGAGAAGAUGGAGACAAGAAAACGAUCAUACGUUUUUUGUCCACUUGUGCACUGUUAUGGUGGGCUGACGGUAGACUGAACAACAGAAAAGCAGCCAGAACUGUACAACAAUUCCAUGGCCACUAUGUCCUCAACUUCCACACUUCCACAAACCUUCCUGAUGCCAGCAGCCACUGCAAGGAGUGGACUGUGAGGCACCCCAAGAACAGGACAAACAGAUGCACUUUGUUCAUGCUGCCCUUUUGCAAACUCUACACCUGGUCACAGGAAGGCUCCAGUAUCACUAAGGUAUUGGAACUAGAGAACAGCACAAAGUAGUUAACCUCAGACACGCUGUUGGAUAGCCUCUCAAGGGACAUGCAAAAGGAAAAUAGAGAAGGGGACACCACAAUACAUUGUUUCUGUGACAAAGUAUUUCUAUGGCCUCACGCAAGAGCUUUUGCUUCUUGAGGAGAAAUCCACAUGAUUUGGCAGCUGUCAGUUAACUAUACAUAAACCUCAAAUGCAGAAAUAUUUUGAAAAAAAUGUUUUUCUUAGCAUUUACUCUGCCUGAACCUGACAGA